rnacentral:rRNA from 1 species
GACGAACGCUGGCGGCGUGCUUAACACAUGCAAGUCGAACGGGAUUUAGUAAACAGAAACCUCGGUGGAAGAUUACUAAUGAGAGUGGCGAACGGGUGAGUAACGCGUGAGCAACCUGCCUAUGACAGUGGGAUAGCCUCGGGAAACCGGGAUUAAUACCGCAUAAAAUCGUAGAAACACAUGUUUUAACGGUCAAAGAUUUAUCGGUCAUAGAUGGGCUCGCGUCUGAUUAGCUAGUUGGUGAGAUAACAGCCCACCAAGGCGACGAUCAGUAGCCGGUCUGAGAGGAUGAACGGCCACAUUGGAACUGAGACACGGUCCAAACUCCUACGGGAAGCAGCAGUGGGGAAUAUUGCACAAUGGGGGAAACCCUGAUGCAGCGACGCCGCGUGAACGAAGAAGGUAUUCGUAUCGUAAAGUUCUGUCCUAUGGGAAGAUAAUGACAGUACCAUAGAAGAAAGCUCCGGCUAAAUACGUG